ensembl:snoRNA SNORA70 Small nucleolar RNA SNORA70
CUGCAGACAACGAAGCUGACUGGGUCCCUUCGCUGGUGGGUGCCCAGAGUGCCAUAGCUGUGAACAGCAACUCCUUGGUAGUGUACAUAGCCUGCUGCUUGGGCUGCCCUAAGGGACCUUGGAGACUCUG